AAGUCGUAACAAGGUCUCCGUUGGUGAACCAGCGGAGGGAUCAUUACCGAGUUUACAACUCCCAAACCCCUGUGAACAUACCUUUAUGUUGCCUCGGCGGAUCAGCCCGUUCCUCGGAACGGCCCGCCGCAGGACCCUAAACUCUGUUUUUAGUGGAACUUCUGAGUAAAAAAACAAAUAAAUCAAAACUUUCAACAACGGAUCUCUUGGUUCUG
rnacentral:misc_RNA from 1 species